rnacentral:miRNA from 1 species
GAACUCACUUUGUAGCCCAGGCUGGCCUGGAACUCACUUUGUAGCCCAGGCUGGCCUGGAACUCACAGUGAUCCUCCUGCCUCAGCCUCCCGGGUGCUGGGAUUACAGGUGUGCGCCUCCACGCCC